rnacentral:rRNA from 1 species
AUUGAACGCUGGCGGCAGGCCUAACACAUGCAAGUCGAACGAGUGGCGGACGGGUGAGUAAUGUCUGGGAAACUGCCCGAUGGAUGGGGAUAACUACUGGAACCGGUAGCUAAUACCGCAUACCAUCGGAUGUGCCGAGAUGGGAUUAGCUAGUAGGUGGGGUAACGGCUGACCAAGGCGACGAUCCCUACCUGGUCUGAGAGGAUUACCAGCCACACUGGAACUGAGACACGGUCCAGACUCCUACGGGAGGCAGCAGUGGGGAAUAUUGCACAAUGGGCGAAGGCCUGAUGCAGCCAUGCCGCGUGUAUGAAGAAGGCCUUCGGAUUGUAAAGUACUGUCAGCGAGGAGGCGUUACUCGCAGAAGAAGCACCGGCUAACUCCGUGCCAGCAGCCGCGGUAAUAC